CUUGGCUCUGUACAACGAUGUAACUCUCCCAUCAGAAGUACAGCAAUUACCAUCUGCUGUUGAAUGUCCAUUAUCCUGUAACAUCAUUUAUUAUGUUUUAUUAUGUAUCCGUAACAAAGAAUAAACCUGAAGAAACCGUAAGUCAGAUUGCGUAUUACUACUUUUCAAUAAUAUAGACAUAUAUUAUUGUAGUGAGCAUUUGGCCCAAGAAUAUAUAUACAAAAGACGUAUAUAUAUCAAUCAACUGAAGACAAGAAGAAAUUAAGAAGAUUCAACAUUAUCACCGUUCCAAAUUACAUUUUACAUUGGCCAGCCAGCCAGUCUUCUAUUCAAGUUUUGGAGGGGGGAGAGAGAAGAAUCGAGUUACAAAGCUAUUUUGGAACUGGGAAAACAAACUUGAAGAGAAAAAAAAGAAUCUAGACUGACUGUCAUAGAAGAACUGUGGUUUGUAAGAAAAAGAAAGUUUUCAAAUCACAAAGACUGUACAAGACUAUUUUCUACAACUGAGACAAAAAGCACAAGAUACAACGUGAAUUCUAGAAGCAAGCACGUGGCAGACAUUGGCAAGCGUCCAGUAUCAAGCAAAAGAACUGCGCAGCUGUGUGGAUGAAACAACGAAUUAGACAGAAAUAACUGAUCUGGUGAGUAACAUGGAAUUCAUAAAUGAUAUUGCAGAGAAAAGUAAAUUGCAGUUUGCAUGUAAUAGCAGCUAUUCAGAUGCUGUAUUGUGGCAAUCUUUAUACACACAAUGUGAAAUUGCCAAUAGUAAAAUUGACAAGAAAUUGUUUGUUAAUAAGAAAAAACAAAAGAUCAGAAAUGUUAUGAAACUAGUCUGUACUUACAAUGCAUUGAUUUGUAAACAAAAUGCAGGUCAAGAAAAUUUAGAAUCAGCAGAUAAAGAAAUAGAUUUGAAUGGGUUAACAGAAGACAAAUCAGAUUUAAAUGAACAGUGUAACAAUGUAACAGAGAGCACAUUGUCAGAAACAGUCUGUGAAUUAGAGGAUAGAGUUGAACUAAGAAAUGAUUUUUUUUGCCAGCUUAGAAAUGAAGUAAAGCAAGUGUGUGUUAAUACAAGAAAAAUACAGGCACAGAAUCUAAUCACAGAACCAAUAGAUACUGAAAAUGUAUCCUCACAGAGUGAUUUGCAGAAAUGUAAAUUUCAAGACAGAACUGCAAAACUUAAUUUGAAAAUCCAUGGACAAUUAAUAAAAAUUGUGAAAUGUAUUCCAGUUUAUGACACGUCAGUGGAUGCAUUUACUAAUGCUGAAAUGUUUGAGUCAAAUGUGGACAAAUACAGCCUAAAUGACGAACAAAGGAAUAGACUAUUUAAAAUAUGGCUGCCAACAUACAUUGCACGUAGAUUGACUCCACCCAUAAGUACCCCUAAUGACGAAGAUGAUGAAAUAAUAUAUGGAAAUAAGCAAGACAGAUUAACACAAUUAAUAAAAUUAACAACAGGGAAUGAUUUUGCAGACACUGAAAUGUUGGAAAAACUAAAACCACACAAGGAGGAGGCUAUAUUUAGUUUUCUUGUAAAAUUUGAAAGUGCAUAUAGACUUGUUGCUAAUUUUCCUGAGAAACAGUUAAUUAAUGAAUUUGUGAAAAAAUUUCAAGAUCUAGAUCCAACUGCAAUUGUAAUUGCUAGAGAAAAAAGGACUUUGAAUGAAGUUGCUAUGUUCUUGGAUAACUUAAGGAGGGUAACCAAUAAUGAAAGGGGUUAAAAUGACUUGUGGAAUUAGGCAGAGAAAGAAGUGCAGAUUUUACACCCCUCGUCCCCCUCCUCCUUCUUCUUCUAGGACAGAGUGUAAAAGAGUGAUACAGACAGCUGAGCCACUCCCAAUUUGUUCAAAUCAAAGGCAGAAUAUAACUCCUAAAAUUAUUUGUUUUUGGUGCAAUAAACAACAUUAUUUAAGAUCUUGCAGAUAUUUUAUCCGAGAUAUCAAAUCAAAAGCAAAUGAGAAAUUAAGUGUGUUGAUUGAAAAUUUUGACAGAGAAAAUACAUGUAGUCAGUGGCGUACACAUGACCCAUGGGGCCCCGGUGCGAAAAUUGAUCCGUGGCCCCCUUCCCCCCCCCACCCGCACGCUUACUCGGCGCGGGUUGGGGCCGCAACACAUGGCGGGGGGGGAACCUGGUCGCAGGGGUUGCAGGGCUGCAACCCCGCGACCGCGGUAUGCACACACACUUAAAGGACCACUACAGACACCCAGAUCACAUCAGCUCAAUGAAGUGGUCUGGGUGCCAGGUCCCUCUAGUUUUAACCCUGCAGCUGAAAACAUAGCAGUUUCAGAGAAACAGCUAUGUUUCACUGAGGGUUAAUCCAGCCUCUGGUGGCUGUCUCAUUGACAGCUGCUAGAGGAGCUUCCGCAAUUCUCACUUUGAAAAUCACAGUGAGAAGACACUGAACGUCCAUAGGAAAGCAUUGAGUAAUGCUUUCCUAUGGGCGGUUUAAAUGCGCGCACGCGCCUCUUGCCGCGCAUGUGCAUUCAGAGCUGAGAGGCGGAGGGAUCCCCAGCGCCAAGGGAGUCCGACGCUGGAGAAAGGUAAAUGCUGAAGACAAACACACACUGUCACGAACAGACGCAUACACACUAGUUAACAGACGCACACAUUUACUGACAGAGACACACUCAGCGACAGACAUACAUACACACUCACUUACAAAACAUACACUUUCACUGACAAACACACUCACUAACAGACACACACAGUAACACACUCACCAGCAGACACACACCCAAUAACAGACACACUCACUGACACACACACUAACACACACACACUAACAAACACACACACACAAACACUAACACAUACACACUAACACACACACACUAACACACACUAACACACACACACACACUAACACACUAACACACAUACUAACACACACACACUAACACAAACACACACACUAACACUAACACACUAACACACUAACACAAACACACACUAACACUAACACACACACUAACACACACACACACACACACUAACACACACACUAACACACACACACUAACACACACUAACACACACACACUAACACACAAACACUAACACAAACACACACACACACUAACACACACACACACUAACAUACACACACACAUACACUAACACACACACUAACACACACACAUACUAACACACACACACUAACACACUAACACACAUACUAACACACACACACACACUAACACACACACACUAACACACACAAACACACACUCACACAGUCACACACAUGUUUUUUUUUUAAAUUUAAUCCCCCCAGCCUCCUUACCUUGUGGAGUGCUGGGGGGAUUCCCUGGGGUCCAGUGGUGCUGCUGGGCUCCUGGGUGGCCGGCGCGAGGGAGCACUCUGCUCUGAGUGCUUCCUCUUCAGCUCCCUCGCGCGCCGCAUAGGGAUGCCGGAGCCGGAAGAUGACGUCAUCUUCCGGCUCUGGCAUCCCAGUGCGGCGCGCGAGGGAGCUGAAGAGGAAGCACUCAGAGCAGAGUGCUCCCUCGCGCGCCCUCCCGCCUGCCAGCCCGGUGACAGCAGGGCCAGCCGCGACCCCUGCGACCCUGGUAUGUACGCCACUGCAUGUAGUGAUAAAUCAAUUAAAGCCUUUCCUUGUAAACUGAUAAUCAGACAAAUAAAAGCAAUUUUAGCUAAAUCAAAAUUAGGAGACAGACAAGCAAUGCAGUGUAACACAGAAAGUUAUAAGAAAUCAGAUAACUUCAAGAGAUAUGAUCAGUUUAGGGAAUGAGCAUGGAUAUGUGUGCCAACAGAUGUACACAGGCUGAUUCCAGAAUUAAGAACAGCCAAGAAUAGAGAUCUAUGUUAGUUUGUUGUUUUAAUGAAUUGUUAGUCUGUAUUGUUUUUCAUUGUUUUUAUGUGUGUUAUAAGAAAGUAUUAGGUUAAUUAAUUAAAAUAAAAAUUUACAUCAAGUUUGCAAAUAUGGCAGAAUGAAAUACACUAAUGUAGCAGUUAGGAACAUGCAAUGUUAUAUUGGGUGUAUGCAAUUAUACAGUAACUCCAAUCAUUUUACAGAAGAAAAAACAAUGUUGUUACUUCUGAGGUUGAUUUAAAAUCUUUGCUUUAAUUCAUGAGAAUGAGAUUUUAAUGUCAUGACUGAUAAUGGAUUACUAUAUUUUGCAAAGCCUGGACAUAUAUAUGUUUUGACUACAUAGAAGACAAAAGUUUUGAUAGAAUAAAACCUAGAUUUACAAAUACAUUUAAUGAAGGAAACAAUAUAUGUUUUUGUAGUUUGUUUCAUGUGACAAAAUGGUGCCAGUGUUCAGACAAAAUGGCUACUAUUGCUAAAGUAUAGUGGAAAACAAUAUUUUGUUGUAACAUCUUAUAUGUGAUUAGGUUAUACCUCCAGAUUAUUAAACAGUUUAAAGGGGGGUAUGAUUAAUAAGGUAUGAUUAAUAAAACGUUUGAGAAUUGAAAAUUAAAAUGUUCAGAAAGAUUUUAAUAUAAAGGAAAUUUAAAGAUUAUACAUCACAUGGCAUAAAUGCAAUGACCACUUGAUGGUAGAUCUCAUGAGAAGAAAUGAGAAUGUUGUGUAGUCAAUAUAAUUCAAUGUUAAACUGUAUAAUAAUAAUAAUGAGAUAUAAACAUUGUAAGCCAUUGUAUUGAUGCUGCACAUGUUUUUGUUUUAAUGUAGGUAAAGCGUGACAGAUCCAUGUGGCAAUAAAUCAGGAAAGCAUUCCUUUAGACAACUGGACAUCGACUGUUGGAAAGAGACUUUUCAUCUGAUCGGCAAACUGUGAUGGAAGAUUCUACAGAGUUCAUUCGAUUCAGAAGAUUAACAGACUUACAAAGAAAUAAAAGAUUGACACUAACAUAAAUAUAUAUUCCUAAAUAUUAAUGAAGAAGAAAACAGACAAUGAAAAGUUAUUGAACAGUUAUGAGUAUUAAUACCAAGAGACUACUUAUAACUAUAUAACACAUGGAGUAAAAUUAUGAUAGGAUAGUAUUAUGAAGAGAACUAUUACAUUAUGACCUAUACAUAGGAGGAGAAGUAUCAGAGGUAGAUAAAAUAUGAAGUUGAUAAAAUAAGGAUCAUGGUUACUUAAUUCUACAAAGAUUGAGUUCAAUAGUAUUUCAUAGAUUCACAAGAAUGAGUAAUUUGUUUAUAUCGAGGUGAAGUAAAAUAAACAAUGGUAACAUAAGGAAGAAAACUAAG